rnacentral:tRNA from 1 species
UUGGUGGCAAAAUUUGAAAAGAAGAGAAAAAGAAAAAAUAGAUGGUAUUUUGAUCUUCUACAUGGA